UACGUAGGGCGCAAGCGUUGUCCGGAAUUAUUGGGCGUAAAGAGCUCGUAGGCGGCUUGUCACGUCGGGUGUGAAAGCUCGGGGCUUAACCCCGGGUCUGCAUUCGAUACGGGCAGGCUAGAGUGUGGUAGGGGAGAUCGGAAUUCCUGGUGUAGCGGUGAAAUGCGCAGAUAUCAGGAGGAACACCGGUGGCGAAGGCGGAUCUCUGGGCCAUUACUGACGCUGAGGAGCGAAAGCGUGGGGAGCGAACAGG
rnacentral:rRNA from 1 species